AUCCCAGAUAAACUUGCCAGAGUGUUUGUCUGAUUCAUGGGAGGCAAAGAUCGACUGUGGAAGCUUCGCUGACAAUGCCUUGUUUCUUGUAGAGGUGUUUCUGAUAGUAGCUUACCAUACACAC
rnacentral:snoRNA from 1 species